CUGAUCUACAACAGGAAGAACAUUUUCCCGUCAUUUGUCCCUGAUUUGUUGAUACAAUCCAGUGAUGGUUUGUAUGACUUCUU